rfam:Cyphomyrmex costatus contig23830, whole genome shotgun sequence.
GUCAACGUUCAAACCAUGUUUAAAAAACCAGUUCUCGUCCGAUCACUGAAGUCAAGAAACAUUGGGCACGGUUAGUACUUGGAUGGGUGACCGCCUGGGAACACCGUGUAACGUUGACA